GUGCUUGCUUGGUGAAUACAAAUACUACAACUGAAACGAUACAGAGAAGAUACUACAGCCCCCAUGCAAGGAUAAUAUACAAAUUCUUAAAGCAUUUAAUUUUUUA